AGCUUUGCGCAGUGGCAGUAUCGUAGCCAAUGAGGUUUAUCCGAGGCGCGAUUAUUGCUAAUUGAAAAAACUCUCUUCAAAACUCACAAUGGAGCAGCAACACUGCUUGGCAAACUUGAGGCAAUUCAAGAGAA